ACNUUACCAAGGCUUGACAUAUAGGGNAAAAGUGGCAGAGAUGUCAUNUCCGCAAGGGCCCUAUACAGGUGGUGCAUGGUUGUCGUCAGCUCGUGUCGUGAGAUGUUGGGUUAAGUCCCGCAACGAGCGCAACCCUCGUUCUGUGUUGCCAGCAUUUAGUUGGGGACUCACAGGAGACUGCCGGGGUUAACUCGGAGGAAGGUGGGGAUGACGUCAAAUCAUCAUGCCCCUUAUGUCUUGGGCUGCACGCAUGCUACAAUGGCCGGUACAGAGGGCUGCAAUACCGUAAGGUGGAGCGAAUCCCAAAAAGCCGGUCUCAGUUCGGAUUGAGGUCUGCAACUCGACCUCAUGAAGUUGGAGUUGCUAGUAAUCGUAGAUCAGCAUCGNUACGGUGAAUACGUUCCCGGGGCUUGUACACACCGCCCGUCACGUCACGAAAGUCGGUAACACCCAAAGUCAGUGGCCCAACCGCAAGGGGGG
rnacentral:rRNA from 1 species